rnacentral:rRNA from 2 species
GAGCGCCCCGCAAGGGGAGCGGCAGACGGGAGAGUAACACGUGGGAACGUGCCCUUUGGUUCGGAACAACACAGGGAAACUUGUGCUAAUACCGGAUAAGUCCGUAAGGAGAAAGAUUUAUCGCCAAAGGAUCGGCCCGCGUCUGAUUAGCUUGUUGGUGAGGUAACGGCUCACCAAGGCGACGAUCAGUAGCUGGUCUGAGAGGAUGAUCAGCCUCACUGGGACUGAGACACGGCCCAGACUCCUACGGGAGGCAGCAGUGGGGAAUAUUGGACAAUGGGCGCAAGCCUGAUCCAGCCAUGCCGCGUGGAUGAUGAAGGCCUUAGGGUUGUAAAGUCCUUUCGGCGGGGAAGAUAAUGACGGUACCCGCAGAAGAAGCCCCGGCUAACUUCGUGCCAGCAGCCGCGGUAAUACGAAGGGGGCUAGCGUUGCUCGGAAUCACUGGGCGUAAAGCGCACGUAGGCGGCUUUUUAAGUCAGAGGUGAAAUCCUGGAGCUCAACUCCAGAACUGCCUUUGAUACUGGAGAGCUUGAGUCCGGGAGAGGUGAGUGGAACUGCGAGUGUAGAGGUGAAAUUCGUAGAUAUUCGCAAGAACACCAGUGGCGAAGGCGGCUCACUGGCCCGGUACUGACGCUGAGGUGCGAAAGCGUGGGGA